rnacentral:rRNA from 1 species
AUUGAACGCUGGCGGCAGGCCUAACACAUGCAAGUCGAACGGUAACAGGAAGCAGCUUGCUGCUUCGCUGACGAGUGGCGGUCGGGUGAGUAAUGUCUGGGAAGCUGCCUGAUGGAGGGGGAUAACUACUGGAAACGGUAGCUAAUACCGCAUAAUGUCGCAAGACCAAAGAGGGGGACCUUCGGGCCUCUUGCCAUCGGAUGUGCCCAGAUGGGAUUAGCUUGUUGGUGGGGUAACGGCUCACCAAGGCGACGAUCCCUAGCUGGUCUGAGAGGAUGACCAGCCACACUGGAACUGAGACACGGUCCAGACUCCUACGGGAGGCAGCAGUGGGGAAUAUUGCACAAUGGGCGCAAGCCUGAUGCAGCCAUGCCGCGUGUAUGAAGAAGGCCUUCGGGUUGUAAAGUACUUUCAGCGGGGAGGAAGGGAGUAAAGUUAAUACCUUUGCUCAUUGACGUUACCCGCAGAAGAAGCACCGGCUAACUCCGUG